rnacentral:rRNA from 1 species
AUACGUAGGGGGACAAGCGUUGUCCGGAAUCACUGGGCGUAAAGGGCGCGUAGGCGGUUUUAUAAGUCAGAUGUGAAAGGUACCGGCUCAACCGGUGACGUGCAUUUGAAACUGUAAGACUUGAGUACUGGAGAGGCAAGUGGAAUUCCUAGUGUAGCGGUGAAAUGCGUAGAUAUUAGGAGGAACACCGGUGGCGAAGGCGGCUUGCUGGACAGAUACUGACGCUGAGGUGCGAAAGCGUGGGGAGC